AGUCGAGCGGUAACAGAUCCAGCUUGCUGGAUGCUGACGAGCGGCGGACGGGUGAGUAAUGCAUAGGAAUCUGCCCGAUAGUGGGGGAUAACCUGGGGAAACCCAGGCUAAUACCGCAUACGUCCUACGGGAGAAAGGGGGCUCCGGCUCCCGCUAUGGGAUGAGCCUAUGUCGGAUUAGCUAGUUGGUGAGGUAACGGCUCACCAAGGCCACGAUCCGUAGCUGGUCUGAGAGGAUGAUCAGCCACAUCGGGACUGAGACACGGCCCGAACUCCUACGGGAGGCAGCAGUGGGGAAUAUUGGACAAUGGGGGAAACCCUGAUCCAGCCAUGCCGCGUGUGUGAAGAGGGCCCUCGGGUUGUAAAGCACUUUCAGCGAGGAAGAACGCCUAGCGGUUAAUACCCGCUAGGAAAGACAUCACUCGCAGAAGAAGCACCGGCUAACUCCGUGCCAGCAGCCGCGGUAAUACGGAGGGUGCAAGCGUUAAUCGGAAUUACUGGGCGUAAAGCGCGCGUAGGUGGCUUGAUAAGCCGGUUGUGAAAGCCCCGGGCUCAACCUGGGAACGGCAUCCGGAACUGUCAAGCUAGAGUGCAGGAGAGGAAGGUAGAAUUCCCGGUGUAGCGGUGAAAUGCGUAGAGAUCGGGAGGAAUACCAGUGGCGAAGGCGGCCUUCUGGACUGACACUGACACUGAGGUGCGAAAGCGUGGGUAGCAAACAGGAUUAGAUACCCUGGUAGUCCACGCCGUAAACGAUGUCGACCAGCCGUUGGGUGCCUAGCGCACUUUGUGGCGAAGUUAACGCGAUAAGUCGACCGCCUGGGGAGUACGGCCGCAAGGUUAAAACUCAAAUGAAUUGACGGGGGCCCGCACAAGCGGUGGAGCAUGUGGUUUAAUUCGAUGCAACGCGAAGAACCUUACCUACUCUUGACAUCCUGCGAAUUUGGUAGAGAUACCUUAGUGCCUUCGGGAACGCAGA
rnacentral:rRNA from 1 species